rnacentral:rRNA from 1 species
UACAGAGGGUGCGAGCGUUGUCCGGAAUCACUGGGCGUAAAGGGCGCGUAGGCGGUGGCUUAAGCGUGCGGUGAAAGCUCGGGGCUCAACUCCGAGUCGGCCGUGCGAACUGGGCUCACUGGAGCAUAGUAGAGGCAGGUGGAAUUCCGGGUGUAGCGGUGGAAUGCGUAGAGAUCCGGAAGAACACCGGUGGCGAAGGCGGCCUGCUGGGCUAUGGCUGACACUGAGGCGCGAAAGCGUGGGGAGCAAACAGG